AGCAACAACACAAAAGCACAAUGGUGGACAUGUAAAUUGAAGCACAGCAAGGAUUAGUAUACAACAACUGUUUUAGCUCCAAAACAAAGAUCCACAAUGGGCAAGAAGGUUAAAGAAGACAAGAAACCACCACCGGAUGAUGUGUUUGACACCUUGGCAGUGGAGAGCAGACAGGCAGGGACUGUGGUGUUGAUGCUAAGUAGUCCUGAAGAAGAUGUACAGUCUAAAGCCUGCGAAGCCAUUUACAAGUUUGUUGACAAAUGUGAUGAAAACAAGAAACAGUUGCUAGACUUGGGAGCAGGAGAGGCCUUGCUAAAGUUAAUGCAGAGCGAAGACCGCAUAGUGCGGAGAAAUGCCUGCAUGGCAAUGGGAGUCAUGACAGCUCAUCGUGGAAGAAGGCAGGCUCUCGGGCCGCCAAGAAGAGUGCAAAGGGAAGUAAGUCAGGUAAGAAGGAUGAGUCUGAGAAAGAAGAGCCACCCCCGGGAGAGGCCAUCAUCCCCACCCUCCCUGACGUCAAGAUGUGUGCUGCAAAAGCCAUCGCCAGAUCAGCCAAAAGUGCUGAAAACAGAAAGAUUCUGCACGAACAGGAAGCAGAGAAGAUGUUGAUCCACCUCCUGAGUCACGAGUCCAACGAUGUACAGACCGCAGCAGCCCAAGCCCUAGGGGUCAUGUCGGAGAACCUACUCAGUAAAGACUCCAUCAGGGAGUGGGAAGGCCUACAGCCCCUGAUUAAGCUGUGCAACUCUGAUAAUGGAGAUGUGAAGGAGGCUGCAACACUAGCACUGGCCAACCUCACCGCUGGGAACUCCACUAACUGCCAAGAGGUGAGCAAUCUGAACGGAGUUGAAACCUUAAUCCACCUGUUGGCGGAUUCUCGGGAUGAAGCUGUGGCCAACACUUGUUGUGUACUGACCAACAUGGCCACAGAGGAAGGGCUGCGCUCAGAGGCCCAGGGUAAAGGAGUGGUCACAGCCCUUCUGGAGCCCCUGAAAUCACAAAAUACAAGAGUACAAGCCAAGUCAUCUCUGGCAGUUGCUGCUUUUGUUUGUGAUGCAGAUUCUAGAUCAGACUUCCGAAAUGCAGGAGGCAUCGAGAAUUUGGUGAUGCUGUUGCAUUCUGGGAACGAUGAGGUCAGACGUAAUGCAGCGUGGGCAUUGGCUGUUUGUGCUGUAGAUGAACCAACUGCUAUUGAGAUCUGCAAACUAGGAGGAAUGGAUCUCCUGCAAGAAAUUCAGGUGUCUGGAACCAGAAAGAAUCCCUUUGCCGAGGUUGCUUUGGAGAGAUUAUUGGAUGCUAACUUGUCAGCAAAAUAUUCCUUGACUGGACAACUAAGCUCCACCAACCUGAUAGAAGAUGGCUUUUAUGAUGCAGGACAAAUCCGCCCCAACACCAAAUUUAUGUCAAUCGAAGAUUACUGCAAGCAAGAACUCAAUGACAAAAGACCCAUUCUCUUCAUUGUUGCCAAGGCAGAUCCAGUGGCCACCCAGUCUGCCUCUAACCCAGAACUCGAGGCCAAAGAUAACUCCAAAACAAAUGUAUCUGGGAAAUCCUCUCGGACCGGCCGGGAAGGAAAAGGAAAAUCUAAACAGAAAGAGAAAGAAGAGAAACAGAAAGAGGAAGAGUUACAGGCUCAGCUCCAAAAGGAGGCUGAAGCUCUGGCCAACUCGGAGAACCAGCCCUUCAAUCCCCCGACCGACUCCAAUCUAGUGAAGUACAUAGAGGAAGUGACGGAGAGGAUUCUGCCGCUAGCUACAACCACCGAACAAGUCAAAGCCCUGGCUCAAUUUGUAGCUGACAAGAUGGGAGGCUGCAUUGAGAAAGGACAACUGCCAAACUUUAGCUGGGAACUUCCUCUUAGUCAAGUUAAAUUUGAAUUGAAAUCAAAUGUGGUUCCCAUUGGUAAAAUCAAGGCUGGAAUUCACAUACACAGAGCUUUGCUAUUCAAGGCUCUUGCGGACAGAAUUGCGCUGCCCUGUACUCUGACUAGAGGAGAAUACAACCGAGCGUGGAAUGAGGUCAUGUUACCUGAGACACCUGAACAGCCCGGAGCCCAGAAAUUCCCACCCCGAUGCUUCAUAGUGGAUUUGAUCCACCAACCAGGACGUCUCAUGAGAUCCGAUUCACCAGAGGCUGUCACAUACAAAAAGCUGUGAUUUAAGGGACCAAUAGAUCCAAGAUAGACCAAGAAACAUUCUGUGAUAUAUCUCCAUCAUAUAUACAUGACAGACAGACAAACAAACCUACAGUGUAUACACACUUCUUGAUUUUCCUGUCUGGGAUAUAUUUAUAUCUUUUUAAAAAAAAUUCUAUUCUAUUGACUAUUUUUUAUUUUUGCGAAUUAUCAUUGUGUACUUUAUUUAUGAAUUAAAAUUGUUAUUAUAUC
rnacentral:misc_RNA from 1 species